UUACGAAAUUCAGUUAAAAUU
rnacentral:piRNA from 1 species